UACGUAGGGGGCUAGCGUUGUCCGGAAUCAUUGGGCGUAAAGAGCGUGUAGGCGGUCCGGUAAGUCGGCUGUGAAAGUCAAGGGCUCAACCCUUGAAAGCCGGCCGAUACUGUCGGACUAGAGUCCGGAAGAGGCGAGUGGAAUUCCCGGUGUAGCGGUGAAAUGCGCAGAUAUCGGGAGGAACACCUAUGGCGAAGGCAGCUCGCUGGGACGUUACUGACGCUGAGACGCGAAAGCGUGGGGAGCAAACAGG
rnacentral:rRNA from 1 species